rnacentral:rRNA from 1 species
GGGUUGUGAGGUUAAGCGACUAAGCGUACACGGUGGAUGCCUAGGCAGUCAGAGGCGAUGAAGGGCGUGCUAAUCUGCGAAAAGCGUCGGUAAGCUGAUAUGAAGCGUAAUAACCGACGAUACCCGAAUGGGGAAACCCAGUGCAAUUCGUUGCACUAUUGCAUGGUGAAUACAUAGCCAUGCAAGGCGAACCGGGGGAACUGAAACAUCUAAGUACCCCGAGGAAAAGAAAUCAACCGAGAUUCCCCCAGUAGCGGCGAGCGAACGGGGAAGAGCCCAGAGUCUGAAUCAGUUGGUGUGUUAGUGGAAGCGUCUGGAAAGUCGCACGGUACAGGGUGAUAGUCCCGUACACAAAAACACACUGGCUGUGAACUCGAUGAGUAGGGCGGGACACGUGACAUCCUGUCUGAAUAUGGGGGGACCAUCCUCCAAGGCUAAAUACUCCUGACUGACCGAUAGUGAACCAGUACCGUGAGGGAAAGGCGAAAAGAACCCCGGCGAGGGGAGUGAAAUAGAACCUGAAACCGUGUACGUACAAGCAGUGGGAGCACCUUCGUGGUGUGACUGCGUACCUUUUGUAUAAUGGGUCAGCGACUUAUAUUUUGUAGCAAGGUUAACCGAAUAGGGGAGCCGUAGGGAAACCGAGUCUUAACUGGGCGUCUAGUUGCAAGGUAUAGACCCGAAACCCGGUGAUCUAGCCAUGGGCAGGUUGAAGGUUGGGUAACACUAACUGGAGGACCGAACCGACUAAUGUUGAAAAAUUAGCGGAUGACUUGUGGCUGGGGGUGAAAGGCCAAUCAAACCGGGAGAUAGCUGGUUCUCCCCGAAAGCUAUUUAGGUAGCGCCUCGUGAACUCAUCUUCGGGGGUAGAGCACUGUUUCGGCUAGGGGUCCAUCCCGGAUUACCAAACCGAUGCAAACUCCGAAUACCGAAGAAUGUUAUCACGGGAGACACACGGCGGGUGCUAACGUCCGUCGUGAAGAGGGAAACAACCCAGACCGCCAGCUAAGGUCCCAAAGUCAUGGUUAAGUGGGAAACGAUGUGGGAAGGCAUAGACAGCCAGGAUGUUGGCUUAGAAGCAGCCAUCAUUUAAAGAAAGCGUAAUAGCUCACUGGUCGAGUCGGCCUGCGCGGAAGAUGUAACGGGGCUAAACCAUGCACCGAAGCUGCGGCAGCGACGCUUAGGCGUUGUUGGGUAGGGGAGCGUUCUGUAAGCCGUUGAAGGUGGCCUGUGAGGGCUGCUGGAGGUAUCAGAAGUGCGAAUGCUGACAUAAGUAACGAUAAUGCGGGUGAAAAACCCGCACGCCGGAAGACCAAGGGUUCCUGUCCAACGUUAAUCGGGGCAGGGUGAGUCGACCCCUAAGGCGAGGCUGAAAAGCGUAGUCGAUGGGAAACAGGUUAAUAUUCCUGUACUGGGUGUGACUGCGAAGGGGGGACGGAGAAGGCUAGGCUAGCCGGGCGACGGUUGUCCCGGUUUAAGCAUGUAGGCGGAGUGACUUGGUAAAUCCGGUUGCUUAUCAACGCUGAGGUGUGAUGACGAGCCACUACGGUGGUGAAGUAGUUGAUGCCAAGCUUCCAGGAAAAGCCUCUAAGCAUCAGGUGACAUUCAAUCGUACCCCAAACCGACACAGGUGGUCAGGUAGAGAAUACUCAGGCGCUUGAGAGAACUCGGGUGAAGGAACUAGGCAAAAUGGUGCCGUAACUUCGGGAGAAGGCACGCUGGCAUUAGGUAAAGAGACUUGCUCUCGGCGCCGAAGCCAGUCGCAGAUACCAGCUGGCUGCAACUGUUUAAUAAAAACACAGCACUGUGCAAACACGAAAGUGGACGUAUACGGUGUGACGCCUGCCCGGUGCUGGAAGGUUAAUUGAUGGGGUCAGCCGCAAGGCGAAGCUCUUGAUCGAAGCCCCAGUAAACGGCGGCCGUAACUAUAACGGUCCUAAGGUAGCGAAAUUCCUUGUCGGGUAAGUUCCGACCUGCACGAAUGGCGUAAUGAUGGCUAGGCUGUCUCCACCCGAGACUCAGUGAAAUUGAACUCGCUGUGAAGAUGCAGUGUACCCGCGGCAAGACGGAAAGACCCCGUGAACCUUUACUAUAGCUUGACACUGAAUAUUGAGCCUUGAUGUGUAGGAUAGGUGGGAGGCAUCGAAGCGUGGACGCCAGUCUGCGUGGAGCCAACCUUGAAAUACCACCCUUUAAUGUUUGAUGUUCUAACUCGGCCCCAUAAUCUGGGGUGAGGACAGUGUCUGGUGGGUAGUUUGACUGGGGCGGUCUCCUCCCAAAGAGUAACGGAGGAGCACGAAGGUUAGCUAAUCACGGUCGGACAUCGUGAGGUUAGUGCAAAGGCAUAAGCUAGCUUGACUGCGAGAGUGACGGCUCGAGCAGGUACGAAAGUAGGUCUUAGUGAUCCGGUGGUUCUGAAUGGAAGGGCCAUCGCUCAACGGAUAAAAGGUACUCCGGGGAUAACAGGCUGAUACCGCCCAAGAGUUCAUAUCGACGGCGGUGUUUGGCACCUCGAUGUCGGCUCAUCACAUCCUGGGGCUGAAGUAGGUCCCAAGGGUAUGGCUGUUCGCCAUUUAAAGUGGUACGCGAGCUGGGUUUAGAACGUCGUGAGACAGUUCGGUCCCUAUCUGCCGUGGGCGUUGGAAGAUUGAGAGGGGCUGCUCCUAGUACGAGAGGACCGGAGUGGACGCAUCACUGGUGUUCGGGUUGUCAUGCCAAUGGCAUUGCCCGGUAGCUAAAUGCGGAAAAGAUAAGCGCUGAAAGCAUCUAAGCGCGAAACUUGCCUCGAGAUGAGUCUUCCCUGGGGCUUUAAGCCCCCUGAAGGAACGUUAAAGACUAUGACGUUGAUAGGCUGGGUGUGUAAGUGCAGCGAUGCAUUGAGCUAACCAGUACUAAUGAUCCGUGAGGCUUAACCUUACAACACCGAAGGUGUUU